UAGAGACAGACUGAAGGUGGACUAUGAGACUGGAUCUCUGAACAUCACAGACACCACAACUGAACACACUGGACGUUAUGAAGCAGAGCUCAUCAGAAGUGAGAGUUCAGGAAAAAGUGAAAGCUUGAACAGAAGCCCCAAGUGUAACAGCACAAAAAUUUACAAAAAAAACAUUAACCCUGAAGACAUCAUAAUAACAUUCAGUCUGACUGUCAGUGCUUCUGAUUCUGGCAAAAACAAAAAUGAAGCCCAAAUAGUACCACAGGACAAAAAGAAGAUAUGUUCAGGUCCGUCUUCAGGCGCUGUAGCAGGAAUUGUUGUUUGUGUUCUGCUGCUGGCUGCAGUUGUUGGUGGUGUGGUGA